GAUGAACGCUGGCGGCGUGCUUAACACAUGCAAGUCGAACGGAAAGGCCCAAGCUUGCUUGGGUACUCGAGUGGCGAACGGGUGAGUAACACGUGGGUGAUCUGCCCUGCACUUCGGGAUAAGCCUGGGAAACUGGGUCUAAUACCGGAUAGGACGAUGGUUUGGAUGCCAUUGUGGAAAGUUUUUUCGGUGUGGGAUGAGCUCGCGGCCUAUCAGCUUGUUGGUGGGGUAAUGGCCUACCAAGGCGUCGACGGGUAGCCGGCCUGAGAGGGUGUACGGACACAUUGGGACUGAGAGACGGGCCAGAGUACUACGGGAGGCAGCAGGGGGGAAUAUUGCACAAUGGGCGCAAGCCUGAUGCAGCGACGCCGCGUGGGGGAUGACGGCCUUCGGGUUGUAAACUCCUUUCGCUAGGGACGAAGCGUUUUUGUGACGGUACCUGGAGAAGAAGCACCGGCUAACUACGUG
rnacentral:rRNA from 1 species